GACGAACGCUGGCGGCGUGCCUAAUACAUGCAAGUCGAACGCAUUUUCUUUCACCGUAGCUUGCUACACCGAAAGAAAAUGAGUGGCGAACGGGUGAGUAACACGUGGGUAACCUGCCCAUCAGCGGGGGAUAACACUUGGAAACAGGUGCUAAUACCGCAUAAUUCCAUUUACCGCAUGGUAGAUGGAUGAAAGGCGCUUUUGCGUCACUGAUGGAUGGACCCGCGGUGCAUUAGCUAGUUGGUGGGGUAACGGCCUACCAAGGCUGCGAUGCAUAGCCGACCUGAGAGGGUGAUCGGCCACACUGGGACUGAGACACGGCCCAGACUCCUACGGGAGGCAGCAGUAGGGAAGCUUCGGCAAUGGACGCAAGUCUGACUGAGCAACGCCGCGGGAGUGAAGAAGGGUUUCGGAUCGUAAAACUCUGUUGUUAGAGAAGAACAAGGAUGAGAGUGGAAAGUUCAUCCCUUGACGGUAGCUAACCAGAAAGCCACGGCUAACUACGUG
rnacentral:rRNA from 1 species